rnacentral:rRNA from 1 species
AUUGAACGCUGGCGGCAUGCCUUACACAUGCAAGUCGAACGGUAACGGGCCUUCGGGUGCCGACGAGUGGCGAACGGGUGAGUAAUACAUCGGAACGUGCCCGAUCGUGGGGGAUAACGAGGCGAAAGCUUUGCUAAUACCGCAUACGAUCUACGGAUGAAAGCAGGGGACCGCAAGGCCUUGCGCGGACGGAGCGGCAGAUGGCAGAUUAGGUAGUUGGUGGGAUAAAAGCUUACCAAGACGACGAUCUGUAGCUGGUCUGAGAGGAUGAUCAGCCACACUGGGACUGAGACACGGCCCAGACUCCUACGGGAGGCAGCAGUGGGGAAUUUUGGACAAUGGGCGCAAGCCUGAUCCAGCCAUGCCGCGUGCAGGAUGAAGGCCUUCGGGUUGUAAACUGCUUUUGUACGGAACGAAAAGCCUUCUUUUAAUACAGGAGGGUCAUGACGGUACCGUAAGAAUAAGCACCGGCUAACUACGUG